GACGAACGCUGGCGGCGUGCUUAACACAUGCAAGUCGAACGAUGAACUUGGAGCUUGCUCUGGGGGAUUAGUGGCGAACGGGUGAGUAACACGUGAGUAACUUGCCCUGGACUCUGGGAUAACUUCGAGAAAUCGGAGCUAAUACCGGAUAGGACCUUGCACCGCAUGGUGUGGGGUGGAAAGUUUUUCGGUUUGGGAUGGACUCGCGGCCUAUCAGCUUGUUGGUGGGGUAAUGGCUCACCAAGGCGUCGACGGGUAGCCGGCCUGAGAGGGUGACCGGCCACACUGGGACUGAGACACGGCCCAGACUCCUACGGGAGGCAGCAGUGGAGAAUAUUGCACAAUGGGCGCAAGCCUGAUGCAGCAACGCCGCGUGCGGGAUGACGGCCUUCGGGUUGUAAACCGCUUUUAGUAGGGAAGAAGCCUUCGGGUGACGGUACCUGCAGAAAAAGGACCGGCUAACUACGUGCCAGCCGCCGCGGUAAAAC
rnacentral:rRNA from 1 species